GGAAAAGAAGGAAUACAUUUGGUAUUUUUUGUUUUGUACCACGCUACUAAUAUGCAUUUCAAAUCAUGCACUUUAAUAUAAUACAUUAUCUAUGUUGGUCAACGUUUAUUCAUAAAUCUGGUCCUUCACCGUCACGUGUGUAUUGUAUUCUUGCCCAACUAACCAAUAGCAAUGUUUUAGUAAAGUCACCCAUCCGUGACUCGAACAAUAGGGAAACUGGAAAUUGCUAUUCGGGUGGAUUUGGUAAAAAUACAAUACACACGUACGUGACGGUGAAACGACCAGAUUAAGGGCCUGUUCAUAUGAGCCCGGCACUGCCGGGCUAGCCCGGUUAACCGGGCUGGUUUUCGAGUGCAGGUUAACCGGGCUCAUAUGAACAGGCCCUUAUGAAUAAACGUUGACUAACAUAGAUAAUGAGUUAUAUUGUUAUUCUAAUGAGUUUCACAGUCAUCUUCCCUUCGAUAGGCUAUGUUCAAGUAUAUGCCUAUAAAUCGGUAUAUAUAGAGAAAUAUCGGACCUCGGUCUUUUUGUAGAUCAGUUUUUAUACAUUUUAAGCCGGUUUUCCAUAACUAAGCGGAAUUUUGCGCUCGGAGCGGAAUUUUUGUCCUUGAGAUUUCUCGGGUGGAAGUUCGUGGAACUAUAAUUAGAAAAUUAAAGACAAAGAAAAAUUCCGCUCCGCGCAAAAUUCCGCCUGAUGGAAACUGACUGGCUUAAGC